CUACGGGGUGCAGCAGUGAGGAAUAUUGCACAAUGGGGGCAACCCUGAUGCAGCAACGCCGCGUGGAGGAUGACGCAUUUCGGUGUGUAAACUCCUUUUAUCAGAGAAGAACCAUGACGGUAUCUGAUGAAUAAGCUCCGGCUAACUCCGUGCCAGCAGCCGCGGUAAUACGGAGGGAGCAAGCGUUAUUCGGAAUCACUGGGCGUAAAGGACGCGUAGGCCGGUCUGUAAGUCAGGUGUGAAAUGCAAUGGCUCAACCAUUGAACUGCACUUGAAACUGCGGACCUAGAGUAUGGAAGGGGCAGAUGGAAUUAGUGGUGUAGGGGUAACAUCCGUAGAUAUCACUAGGAAUACCGAAAGCGAAGGCGAUCUGCUGGGACAUAACUGACGCUGAGGCGUGAAAGCGUGGGGAGCAAACAGGAUUAGAUACCCUAGUAGUC
rnacentral:rRNA from 1 species